UUGACACUAAGGGCGGAGUGACAUAAUUUUAGGAGUGAGGGUUAGGGAGAGGUUUCCCCCUCCCCCUGGUGUUCUUAGUAAGCCUGGAAGCUAAUCACUAAGAGUAUCACCAGUAUGAUGACGUGCUUCAUCAUAACCCUUUCCUUAUU
rnacentral:sRNA from 2 species